UCAGCGGCUUUCUGUCUGAGAAAAUCCUGCCCAAUUAAAAUUUGAUAGUUCAAUUGAUGAGUUAAGUCUUUGCCUUCUUGCAGCUCCCGUUGCAACUUCUCAAUUGUAUCAUUAAGAUGAAGACUUUCUGCUUCUUUUGCUUCCAGCUUCUGCCCCAACAUCUCAACCUUCUUCUUCUUGAGGUCAUUGUUAUGCACAUGGAGACAGCUGAUAUCUUCAGAACGUGCUUCAAGUUCCUCAACUUUCUCAGUCCCAAAGCUCUUGAAAACUGAUGAUACGUU
rnacentral:misc_RNA from 1 species